GUGCUUGCUUCAGCAGCACAUAUACUAAAAUUGGAAUGAUACAGAAAGAUUAGCAUGGCCCCUGAGCAAGGAUGACAUGCAAAUUCAUGAAGCAUUCCAUGUUUUU
rnacentral:snRNA from 1 species